UGCCAAUCACUGGGCUUAUACCAAUCUCCUAAAAUAAAACUGGAUAUCAGAGGCCACUCAAUGGUCUUACACUAAUCUCCUCAAAAGAAAACAAAGAUGAAAUAUGGAAGUCAACUGCCAAUCUAUCUGGACUUAGGUUAACUCCACAGUAUGNAAAACAGCAAGGGAUAGUCAACCAAAAUCAAGUUCAAACAUUUAAGAAGCAAACUCAAUUGGUCCCACAUCCAUAUCAUUCAUCAUCAUGAUUUCAUAAGCAAAAGAAGUCAAAGCAUGGCAAAUGAAAGCUCAUAGA
rnacentral:lncRNA from 1 species